GACAGAGGGUGCAAACGUUGCUCGGAAUCACUGGGCGUAAAGGGCGUGUAGGCGGGAAGGGAAGUCAGAUGUGAAAUCCCUGGGCUCAACCCAGGAACUGCAUUUGAAACUCCCUUUCUUGAGUGUCGGAGAGGAAAGUGGAAUUCCUGGUGUAGCGGUGAAAUGCGCAGAUAUCAGGAAGAACACCAAUGGCGAAAGCAGCUUUCUGGGACGGUACUGACGCUGAGACGCGAAAGCGUGGGGAGCGAACAGG
rnacentral:rRNA from 1 species